GACGGCGAGUGAACAGGGAAAAGCCCAAAUUUGUAAUCUGGCACUUUUUACAAGUGUCCGAGUUGUAAUUUGUAGAGCUGUUAUCCGUACUGGACCAUGUACAAGUCUGUUGAAAAGCAGCAUCAUUGAAGGUGAAAAUCCUGUAGAUGAUAUGGACUACCAGUAUAUUUGUGAUACGGUUUCUAAGAGUCGAGUUGUUUGGGAAUGCAGCUCAAAGUGGGUGGUAAAUUCCAUCUAAGGCUAAAUAUAAGUGAGAGACCGAUAGCAAACAAGUACCGUGAGGGAAAGAUGAAAAGAACUUUGAAAAUAGAGUUAACAGUACGUGAAAUUGCUGAAAGGGAAACGUUUGAAGUUAGUUUUGUAUUCGUUGGAUCAGCUUCGCAAGGAGUGUAUUCUGAUGAUAAGCAAGUCAACAUCAGUCUAUGAGUGUUGGAUAAGGGUUUUGAGAAUGUAGCAAUUUAAUUGUGUUAUAGCUUGAGACUUGGAUACAAUGCUUUGGAUUGAGGAACGCGUAGUAAGCUUUGAGCGGAUUCGAAAGGAUCUCCUU
rnacentral:rRNA from 1 species